rnacentral:tRNA from 1 species
CCCUCCCUAACUCAGUGGCAGAGUGCUCGGCUGUAGACCGAGCGGUCCCCGGCUCGAAUCCGGGGGGAGGGACCA